UACGGAGGGUGCGAGCGUUGUCCGGAAUCAUUGGGCGUAAAGGGCGCGUAGGUGGCCCCUCAAGCGUGCGGUGAAAGUCAGGGGCUCAACCCCUGAUCGGCCGUGCGAUCUGGGGAGCUUGAGCACUGUAGAGGCAGGCGGAAUUCCGGGUGUAGCGGUGGAAUGCGUAGAGAUCCGGAAGAACACCGGUGGCGAAGGCGGCCUGCUGGGCAGUUUUGCUGACACUGAGGCGCGACAGCGUGGGGAGCAAACAGG
rnacentral:rRNA from 1 species